GCUAACGCGCUGGAUGAUGCCACCCAUGAAGUGGAUUUCCGGCCAGUUCAGAAGCCGACUGAGGAGGCUGGGCGAGUCUUACACUCUUUUCCCUCAGCUCUGCCAAGUGGUGCUCGCCCAAGUUCGUCGUUCACUAUUCUUGACUGCGUGUACUUCUUCUCGUAGACUUUCUACGUUCUCGAGCCAUGUGUUGGCCCGCGGUAUGGAAUGCCGGCUCGUUUGGAGAGAUUCUAAGCUCGCGGAACAGAUCUCUAUCGCUUGAGCUGAAUUGCGGUUCACGACUGUGAUGCACGGGCGGCGAACAAACCUUUUCUCGAGAUGGAAUUCUCUACAAUAGGAUGCCACCGUUCGCCCUUUGGAAAGACACAGACUGUAGCCGAUAGCGAUUCCAAAGGUAUCACUUGUAGCUGUACGUGCUCUAACUCCACUUGAGGGAUGGUCUUGCUCUGAUGGAGGUAGUCCUCGAGCUAAAGGCAGAUGGUACUGCUGGUAUUCGUGAUGAUCCAUCUGUGAACCAUGCCCAAACAAGUUCUUGAUCGUGUUCUCUUAUACGGUUAGCAUCUUGUUCUUCCUCCUUCCCCAGGUAAGCUUUCAUUUUCAUCAACUCCUAUGUGGUUUUCUUUCCUUUUUUUUUUCAGAAUCCUGGGUCAUUACUGCGCUUCGUGUUUGCAACUGAUGCCUUUAAAAUGGUGACUGCUCCAAAGGAGAGCUACCGCGAGUCGAUAUCAGGUAGCUGUACUACAUUUUGGCAACCGUGGAGACGAGUGAGCUUGACACGAAUGACAGUUAACUUGAUUUGCUUCUUUGGUAAUGGAAGUGAUGUUAUCGAUUU